UCGGGAAUUUUGGGCAAUGGGCGAAAGCCUGACCCAGCAACGCCGCGUGAAGGAUGAAGUAUUUCGGUAUGUAAACUUCGAAAGAAUAGGAAGAAUAAAUGACGGUACUAUUUAUAAGGUCCGGCUAACUACGUGCCAGCAGCCGCGGUAAUACGUAGGGACCAAGCGUUGUUCGGAUUUACUGGGCGUAAAGGGCGCGUAGGCGGCAAUUCAAGUCAUCUGUGAAAUCUCCGGGCUUAACUCGGAACGGUCAGAUGAUACUGCUUUGCUAGAGUGCAGAAGGGGCAAUCGGAAUUCUUGGUGUAGCGGUGAAAUGCGUAGAUAUCAAGAGGAACACCUGAGAUGAAGACGGGUUGCUGGGCUGACACUGACGCUGAGGCGCGAAAGCCAGGGGAGCAAACAGGAUUAGAUACCCAAGUAGUCCCUGAGCGGGCUGGCAAGGCG
rnacentral:rRNA from 1 species